GUAAAUGCAAGGAACAGGACAAGAUUUCCGGGAAAUGUGUUUUCAGAGAGCUUUCGGUUGAUGCGAGAAAGCAGCACACCAGGAGAAUCAUCACCUGCAAGCAGUCAGGAUGAAAAUCGAUGAUCGGUAAUUCUGAACGGAGUUCCACCGUUAAAGGGAAGCCUGUUGGGACAGCAGUCUGACGUGCAGUGCACCGGAUGAAAUCAGACAGGACUAAGAGACCGUAUGUGUAUGCCGGUAAUGGAAGUGGUAUCGCGGAGAGAAAUCCUUCGUCUUCUUA
rnacentral:ncRNA from 1 species